rnacentral:rRNA from 1 species
UGGGGAAUAUUGCACAAUGGGCGCAAGCCUGAUGCAGCCAUGCCGCGUGUGUGAAGAAGGCCUUCGGGUUGUAAAGCACUUUCAGCGGGGAGGAAGGCGUUAAGGUUAAUAACCUUGGCGAUUGACGUUACCCGCAGAAGAAGCACCGGCUAACUCCGUGCCAGCAGCCGCGGUAAUACGGAGGGUGCAAGCGUUAAUCGGAAUUACUGGGCGUAAAGCGCACGCAGGCGGUCUGUCAAGUGGGAUGUGAAAUCCCCGGGCUCAACCUGGGAACUGCAUUCGAACCUGGCAGGCUAGAGUCUUGUAGAGGGGGGUAGAAUUCCAGGUGUAGCGGUGAAAUGCGUAGAGAUAUGGAGAAAUACCGGUGGCGAAGGCGUCCCCCUGGACAAAGACUGACGCUCAGGUGCGAAAGCGUGGGGAGCAAACAGG